CACAAUCACAAUUUCCCCCAAUUCGCAAACCCUAGUUCCUUCGCGGCGUCAAUCUCCGCCGUCAGGCUGCCUCACCGCCUCUGAACCUCCGUCGCUGGCUUCGCGACGGUGUUCCUCCGUCUCCGGCGAGGGACGAUCGGUAUCAAGAAGAUCUCUCUCUUUCACUCGGUUGCAUCGCCGCUGUCGCGACACCCCGUCGUCGCCGCCUCUGUACCGGUUUCGGCGAGUGGCUGCCGCUGCAUGUUCGCGGUGGUGGAGACGCUGAUCGCGCUGUCCGUCGUCGUCGCGCAUCACCGGGAUUCGGCAGGUUUCCCCGUCGGGACUGAGGAGGUGUCGCAUAUUCCGUGCAGCUCUGCCGCUGACGCUUCCGACUGUGGCAACGCAGUUGGGUCCGCUUAGCAGACCAGCCCCGCCGCCGCUGCUGACCGCUCGCGUAGACGGCUUCAGUUAGCCUUCCGUCGAGCUGCGGGUCCUUUCCGCGGUCAUCUCCGUCGGUGCCCAGUACCAGGGCCUCUCAACACUCAAGCUAAGCCUUCUAUCUUAGCCUAUUUGGUUGACCUCUUUAGGGUAGAGUUUGUUCUUACUUCAUGGUUUGAGAAUUGGGCAGAUUGUGUCUGUUCUUCAAAGGAUAUGCAUAUACUUUGUGUUGUGAUACUCUAUGUCUAGCAUGUUGUGCUUAAGUUUCUGAAACUAUGGGGUUUUCAGCAUGUUUGUGAUGUCUACAUGAUGCUAUAAUUCACAUGAGCUUAGGCCUUGGUUGUUGGAUGGAUUACCUGAGAGGUUUGCGGUUGGGUUGUACACGGCCCUUAGUCUCUGCCUCUCGGUUCCAGCCCUCUGUCUCAGCCUCUCCUUCCCAUUGGUUUCACUGGAAUUUCAAUGAUUUUCUUGGUGGUGGAGGAAACAAGGGCUGAGGCUAUGCUCUAUAUAUAAUGGUGUGUAACUGAAAGCUGCAAGAUGGUUGUUUUGGUUGCAGAGACAGACAGAGUGUCCUUGGCCUGGGUGGUGUGGCUGUCCCUUAACCGCAUCUGGCACUUUAUGAGUGCUUUAGUACUUAGUCCAUUUUAGGUUUUGUUGGUUUAUGGCAGGUACACCACAAUUGACUGAUCUUCCUGGCAAUGGCAGGUAUAAAUGGAGGGUACAAGCUGCAAAUCUCAGCUUUGUAGAGUGCAGCUGAUGGGGUGGAAUGUUGUUGGCUGGACUUGCUUCUUUCGGCCCAGCUCUUUCUCAUUUCUCUGAAAGGAGCUGGGGCUGGUUCCACAAGGCUCUUUUCCUAACGUCCCAGCCCAUCGGACCUCUCCGGUCUUGGGCCGAGACGGCUCGCGCAGAAGAUCCAUGAAGUUCUCUAGGAACUCUUGAUUGUAAUAGAGUAGCUCGAUUUCAGUUUUCUUUCCUUUUCUUUAUCUCAACAUGUAUGUAGUAAUGUAGAGUCUAUUGAAAUUAAUGUAUUUCUUUUCCUUUA